GGUAUCGCCGUUAGUCAUGUGCAAAUAUGGAUAGCUGUUUUAGCCGUCUUUAUUGACUGGUUCAUAAGAGUUAUCAGAUAUCACUUUGAUUAAAUUAGAGUGCUUAGAGCAAGUGUGUUACUUGGAUAUAAAUGCAUGGAAUGAUGGAAUAUGUUGUUAUUCUAUUUGUUGGUUUUUGAAUGAUAAAAUGAUUGAAAGGAACUGUUGGGGGCAUUCGUAUUGUUGUGAGAGAGGUGAAAUUCUUAGACCACAGCAAGACGAACUACUGCGAAAGCAUUUGCCAAGAAUGUUUUCAUUGAUCAAGAACGAAAGUUAGAGGUUCGAAGGCGAUCAGAUACCGCCCUAGUUCUAACCAUAAACUAUGCCAACUAGCAAUUUGCUUUGUAUUUUUUAUGACUAAGUGAGAGGCCACGGGAAACCUAAGUAGGGUUAUGGGGGAAGUAUGGUUGCAAAGCUGAAACUUAAAGGAAUUGACGGAAGGGCACCACCAGGAGUGGAGCCUGCGGCUUAAUUUGACUCAACACGGGAAAACUUACCUGGUCCUGACACUAGAAGGAUUGACAGAUUGAUAGCUCUUUCUUGAUUUGGUGGAUGGUGGUGCAUGGCCGUUCUUAGUUGGUGGAGUGAUUUGUCUGGUUAAUUCCGAUAACGAACGAGACUCUAGCCUAUUAAAUAAUACACGGAAUUUUAUCUUCCGCGGUAUUUCUUAGUGGGAUCAAGCG
rnacentral:rRNA from 1 species